GAUGAACGCUGGCGGCGUGCCUAAUACAUGCAAGUCGAGCGAACAGACGAGGAGCUUGCUCCUCUGACGUUAGCGGCGGACGGGUGAGUAACACGUGGAUAACCUACCUAUAUUUCUGGGAUAACUACGGGAAACCGGAGCUAAUACCGGAUAAUAUAUUGAACCGCAUGGUUCAAUAGUGAAUGACGGCUUUGCUGUCACUAAUAGAUGGAUCCGCGCUGGAUUAGCUAGUUGGUAAGGUAACGGCCUACCAAGGCGACGAUGCGUAGCCGACCUGAGAGGGUGAUCGGCCACACUGGAACUGAGACACGGUCCAGACUCCUACGGGAGGCAGCAGUGGGGAAUCUUGGGCAAUGGGCGAAAGCCUGACGCAGCCACACCGCGUGAGUGAAGAAGGCCUUCGGAUCGUAAAGCCCUGUUGUUGGGGAAGAACAGCUGUAGAAGGAUACCUGGCCGUUUUGACGGUACCUAAUCAAAAAGCCCCGGCUAACUACGUG
rnacentral:rRNA from 1 species